rnacentral:rRNA from 1 species
UGGGGAAUCUUGCGCAAUGCGCGAAAGCGUGACGCAGCAACGCCGCGUGGGUGAAGAAGGCCUUCGGGUUGUAAAGCCCUUUCAGUUGGGACGAAGCUCCGCCGGUGAGUAGCCGGCCGGAGUGACGGUACCUUCAGAAGAAGCCCCGGCUAACUACGUGCCAGCAGCCGCGGUAAUACGUAGGGGGCAAGCGUUGUCCGGAAUCAUUGGGCGUAAAGAGCGUGUAGGUGGCUCGGUAAGUCCGCUGUAAAAGUCCAGGGCUCAACC